rnacentral:rRNA from 1 species
GAUGAACGCUGGCGGCGUGCCUAAUACAUGCAAGUCGAGCGAACAGAUAAGGAGCUUGCUCCUUUGACGUUAGCGGCGGACGGGUGAGUAACACGUGGGUAACCUACCUAUCAGACUGGAAUAACUCCGGGAAACCGGGGCUAAUGCCGGAUAACAUUUAGAACCGCAUGGUUCUAAAGUGAAAGAUGGUUUUGCUAUCACUUAUCGAUGGACCCGCGCCGUAUUAGCUAGUUGGUAAGGUAACGGCUUACCAAGGCAACGAUACGUAGCCGACCUGAGAGGGUGAUCGGCCACACUGGAACUGAGACACGGUCAAGACUCCUACGGGAGGCAGCAGUAGGGAAUCUUCCGCAAUGGGCGAAAGCCUGACGGAGCAACGCCGCGUGAGUGAUGAAGGUCUUCGGAUCGUAAAACUCUGUUAUUAGGGAAGAACAAAUGUGUAAGUAACUGUGCACGUCUUGACGGUACCUAAUCAGAAAGCCACGGCUAACUACGUG